AUUGAACGCUGGCGGCAUGCUUUACACAUGCAAGUCGAACGGUAACAGGCCGCAAGGUGCUGACGAGUGGCGAACGGGUGAGUAAUGCAUCGGAACGUGCCCAGUCGUGGGGGAUAACUACUCGAAAGAGUAGCUAAUACCGCAUACGAUCUAUGGAUGAAAGCGGGGGACCGUAAGGCCUCGCGCGGUUGGAGCGGCCGAUGUCAGAUUAGGUAGUUGGUGGGGUAAAGGCUCACCAAGCCAACGAUCUGUAGCUGGUCUGAGAGGACGACCAGCCACACUGGGACUGAGACACGGCCCAGACGCCUACGGGAGGCAGCAGUGGGGAAUUGUGGACAAUGGGCGCAAGCCUGAUCCAGCAAUGCCGCGUGCAGGAAGAAGGCCUUCGGGUUGUAAACUGCUUUUGUACGGAACGAAACGGCUCUGGUUAAUACCCGGGGCUAAUGACGGUACCGUAAGAAUAAGCACCGGCUAACUACGUG
rnacentral:rRNA from 1 species